AGCUGCUUUUUGCCACUGCUUUAGGCGAUGAUCUUUUUUGCUUUUUCUUAGUGACCCCUGCUCCAGAAGAUUCUGCCUUUGCUGGAGAAGAUGAACUGAUAUCCAUAGGUUGCACUAAGAAACCCUCCUCCUCCUGCAUCAAGGGUGCAAAUCGAGAUCCCCCUUGACGAUCCAUUAUUUUUUCUGAGGAUUUCUCGAGCUACCUCCUUUAGCCGAUUG
rnacentral:lncRNA from 1 species